CCUACGGGAUGCAGCAGUGAGGAAUAUUGGUCAAUGGGCGCGAGCAUGAACCAGCCAAGUAGCGUGAAGGAUGACUGCCCUACGGGUUGUCAACUUCUUUUAUAAAGGAAUAAAGUGAGGCACGUGUGCAUUUAUGUAUGAACUUAAUGAAUAAGGAUCGGCUAACUACGUGCCAGCAGCCGCGGUAAUACGGAGGAGCCGAGCGUUAGCCGGAUUUAUUGGGUGUAAAGGGAGCGUAGACGGGUUGUAAGUCAGUUGUGAAAGUUUGGGGCUCAACCGUAAAAUUGCAAUUGAUACUGGCAGUCUUGAGUACAGUUGAGGUAGGCGGAAUUCGUGGUGUAGCGGUGAAAUGCUUAGAUAUCACGAAGAACUCCGAUUGCGAAGGCAGCUUACUAAACUGCCACUGACAUUGAUGCUCGAAAGUGUGGGUAUCAAACAGGAUUGGAUACCCUGGUAGUC
rnacentral:rRNA from 1 species